AUUGAACGCUGGCGGCAGGCCUAACACAUGCAAGUCGAACGGUAACAGGAAGAAGCUUGCUUCUUUGCUGACGAGUGGCGGACGGGUGAGUAAUGUCUGGGAAACCGCCUGAUGGAGGGGGAUAACUACUGGAAACGGUAGCUAAUACCGCAUAACGUCGCAAGACCAAAGAGGGGGACCUUCGGGCCUCUUGCCAUCGGAUGUGCCCAGAUGGGAUUAGCUAGUAGGUGGGGUAACGGCUCACCUAGGCGACGAUCCCUAGCUGGUCUGAGAGGAUGACCAGCCACACUGGAACUGAGACACGGUCCAGACUCCUACGGGAGGCAGCAGUGGGGAAUAUUGCACAAUGGGCGCAAGCCUGAUGCAGCCAUGCCGCGUGUAUGAAGAAGGCCUUCGGGUUGUAAAGUACUUUCAGCGGGGAGGAAGGGAGUAAAGUUAAUACCUUUGCUCAUUGACGUUACCCGCAGAAGAAGCACCGGCUAACUCCG
rnacentral:rRNA from 1 species